GGUAAUAACGAAGGGUGGCAAGCGUUACUCGGAAUUACUGGGCGUAAAGCGUGCGUAGGUGGUGGUUUAAGUCCGUUGUGAAAGCCCUGGGCUCAACCUGGGAAUUGCAGUGGAUACUGGGUCACUAGAGUGUGGUAGAGGGUAGCGGAAUUCCCGGUGUAGCAGUGAAAUGCGUAGAGAUCGGGAGGAACAUCUGUGGCGAAGGCGGCUACCUGGACCAACACUGACACUGAGGCACGAAAGCGUGGGGAGCAAACAGG
rnacentral:rRNA from 1 species